CCGACCUUAGCUCAGUUGGUAGAGCGCAAGACUGUAACGGUUACUUAUCUUGAUGCCGCCUGUUCGAUCCAGGCAGGUCGGA